AAAAUCCAGUUAAAUAGGAAGGAAAAGCAGCGCUAAAAAUUAUGCAAAACGAAGUAGCACCACCGUGUUGUAUUAAGCAAACGCAAAAAUCUACCCCUUGCAACUUUUGGUCAAAGCAGAGCAUCAAGUUAGAUUAAACUUUAUCAUGCUUGGAGUUUAAAGUAUUCACCGAGGGACAGCAGGGACUUCUGCAGGCGGCGAAAAGGGAUGAGAAAUACACACGGAAAAUAGUCAUGCCCGGCCGGCCCAUGGAGCUGGGGGUUAAGGGCCUCGCUCAAGGCCCCACAGAUGUGAGUAUUCUGCUGAGGCUGGCCUCAAGUCGGAGACCUUCCACUCACUCGUGUGGCUGCCUGGAGAUAAAUGAGGUCAUGGGAAUGUGUAAAGCAUAAGCAGCAGAAUAUGAUGAGGAGGUAAGCUAUUACGUACACCAGGGGUAAUGGGUGAGUGGUAAGUGGAGGUACAAAAUGUGUUUCUGUGGUUUCGGACUCAUCGGAAGGUCUUCAGUUCAAACCAGGUGGCUGGCAGAGUGAUGUCA